CGCAUUGCACACGUGUCCGUCGGACGGAACGGUUCCCAAAACAAACAAACAAACAGAAAAACAAAAACCGACAACCACAACACCACCAACAAAGUACGGGUCGUGACAUCCGGUUUAGUAGUUUAGUAGUCGGAACGUGCGGAAAAUGUGACGGGAAAGAGGAAGUUCAGUUGCAUAAGCUACGUGGCAGCAAGUUCGUACAUCUGCGGAGCCUGCCGUUCGGUUCGGCGUGGUGUGUAUUUACAUUGUGUUUUUCCGCAUUUGACUGUCGUGCGUGUGUGUGUGUGUUUGAAAGUGCGCGUGUGUGUGUUUUCGCAAGAAAAAGUUACAAACGCGUACAACAAUAACUAAACGUGAAACAAAGCGUGUGUGUGUGUGCUCGUGAAGUCGCCGAAAAAAAACAACACACCGGAUGUGCUUGGAAUACAGCAACAAGCAGCAGCCCUGUUAGCAGCUCAUCGUAGCAGUAAUGCACACUUUUCUGCUCGAGGCAGACGGUGGGCGGACCGGCCCCACACGGUACCUGUAACUCUGCCGCCAGCGACGAGUAAUGGCCGUGGAAAGCUGCUACUUCACUGCAACGCACUCGAGCAAGACGGGAAACGGGACGACCUCCUAGCGAGUUGUCGCUGGAGAUCGCAGGAACGUGUUGCCGCAAAACGUGCUGCCAAAAAGUGUGCGUGUGUGUGCGACAUCGGAAAGUCAGUGCGUACGUGGAAGUUAAAGCAUUAAAACACACCCACACGCACCUGUGUAGACGGUUGAAGUGAAGGGGUUAAAAUCACGACAAAACAAACAAAAGAGAGA